AUUGAACGCUGGCGGCAUGCUUUACACAUGCAAGUCGAACGGUAACAGGGAGCUUGCUCCGCUGACGAGUGGCGAACGGGUGAGUAAUAUAUCGGAACGUACCCAAGAGUGGGGGAUAACGUAGCGAAAGUUACGCUAAUACCGCAUACGAUCCAAGGAUGCAAGUGGGGGACCGCAAGGCCUCCUGCUCCUGGAGCGGCCGAUAUCUGAUUAGCUAGUUGGUGAGGUAAAGGCUCACCAAGGCAACGAUCAGUAGCUGGUCUGAGAGGACGACCAGCCACACUGGGACUGAGACACGGCCCAGACUCCUACGGGAGGCAGCAGUGGGGAAUUUUGGACAAUGGGGGCAACCCUGAUCCAGCAAUGCCGCGUGAGUGAAGAAGGCCUUCGGGUUGUAAAGCUCUUUUGUCGGGGAAGAAACGGGAGUGGCUAAUAUCCAUUUCUAAUGACGGUACCUGAAGAAUAAGCACCGGCUAACUACGUGCCAGCCGCCGCUGUAAUAC
rnacentral:rRNA from 1 species